AGAGUUUGAUCAUGGCUCAGGAUGAACGCUAGCGGGAGGCCUAACACAUGCAAGUCGAACGGGAUUCCCUUCGGGGAUGAGAGUGGCGCACGGGUGAGUAACGCGUAUGCAACCUGCCUUUAACAGAGGGAUAGCCCAUAGAAAUGUGGAUUAAUACCUCAUAGUUCUGGUUCUCCGCAUGGAGGACCAGAUAAAGCCUUGGCGGUUAAAGAUGGGCAUGCGUGACAUUAGCUUGUUGGUGAGGUAACGGCUCACCAAGGCGACGAUGUCUAGGGGUUCUGAGAGGAUGAUCCCCCACACUGGUACUGAGACACGGACCAGACUCCUACGGGAGGCAGCAGUGAGGAAUAUUGGUCAAUGGGCGCAAGCCUGAACCAGCCAUCCCGCGUGCAGGAUGACGGCCCUAUGGGUUGUAAACUGCUUUUGUACACCAAGAAAAGUUGCUACGUGUAGCGAUCUGACGGUAGUGUAUGAAUAAGCAUCGGCUAACUCCGUGCCAGCAGCCGCGGUAAUACGGAGGAUGCAAGCGUUAUCCGGAUUCAUUGGGUUUAAAGGGUGCGUAGGCGGGCAUGUAAGUCAGUGGUGAAAUCCCCGAGCUUAACUUGGGAACUGCCGUUGAUACUAUGUGUCUUGAAUAUCGUGGAGGUAAGCGGAAUAUGUCAUGUAGCGGUGAAAUGCUUAGAUAUGACAUAGAACACCGAUUGCGAAGGCAGCUUACUACACGAUCAUUGACGCUGAGGCACGAAAGCGUGGGGAGCAAACAGGAUUAGAUACCCUGGUAGUCCACGCCCUAAACUAUG
rnacentral:rRNA from 1 species